UACAGAGGUCUCAAGCGUUGUUCGGAUUCAUUGGGCGUAAAGGGUGUGUAGGUGGCGCGCUAAGUCGGGUGUGAAAUUUCGGAGCUUAACUCCGAAACUGCAUUCGAUACUGGCGUGCUUGAGGACUGGAGAGGAGACUGGAAUUUACGGUGUAGCAGUGAAAUGCGUAGAUAUCGUAAGGAAGACCAGUGGCGAAGGCGGGUCGCUGGACAGUUCCUGACACUGAGACACGAAGGCCAGGGGAGCAAACGGG
rnacentral:rRNA from 1 species